UUUGAUUCUGUAUUUUCACAGGGACCCAGGACGUAAUGAUCUCAGGACUCCUGUUUUCCAUUUCUCCAUAUAUUGGCAUCCCUUCUGUCAUAUGAUAUGACCUAUUCAGACCUGGAGCCAGCUUGGGCAUGACCAGGUGCACUUCCAGUUCUCUGCCAUGUGAGGACACUGUCUCUUCACUCUGGAGAAUGCAGCAUUCAAUGUUCCCCCUUGGAAGUAGAGACUUGACCCCCACC
rnacentral:lncRNA from 1 species